AGAGUUUGAUCCUGGCUCAGAACGAACGCUGGCGGCGCGUCUUAAGCAUGCAAGUCGGACGGCAAGACAGCGGCUUGCCGCUGUCCUAGAGUGGCGGACUGGUGAGGAGCGCGUGGGUGACGCGCCCUCCGGACGGGGAUAGCCUGUGGAAACACAGGGUAAUACCGGAUAAGAGCGCACUCCUGCGGGAGUGCGGAGAAAGCGGCCUCGGCCGCGCCGGAGGAGCGGCCCGCGUCCCAUUAGCUUGUCGGCGGGGUAACGGCCCACCGAGGCGACGAUGGGUAUCCGGCCUGAGAGGGUGGACGGACACAUUGGGACUGAGAUACGGCCCAGACUCCUGCGGGAGGCAGCAGCUAAGAAUAUUCCGCAAUGGGGGGAACCCUGACGGAGCGACGCCGCGUGGACGAGGAAGGCCGGAAGGUUGUAAAGUCCUUUUGUACGCGGAGAAUAAGCGGGCGAGGUAAUGCGUCCGCGGUGACGGUAGCGUGCGAAUAAGGGGCGGCUAAUUACGUGCCAGCAGCCGCGGUAACACGUAAGCCCCGAGCGUUGUUCGGAAUCAUUGGGCGUAAAGGGCAUGUAGGCGGCCGCGCAAGCCCGGUGUGAAAUCCCGGGGCUCAACUCCGGGAGUGCGCCGGGAACUGCGCGGCUGGAGUAGCCGUGGGGCAGCCGGAAUUCCGGGUGGAGGGGUGAAAUCUGCAGAUAUCCGGAAGAACACCGAUGGCGAAGGCAGGCUGCCAGCGGAUUACUGACGCUGAGGUGCGAAGGCGCGGGGAGCGAACAGGAUUAGAUACCCUGGUAGUCCGCGCAGUAAACGAUGCACACUGGGCGUCCGGGCAGAAGCCCGGGUGCCGAAGCGAACGCGGUAAGUGUGCCGCCUGGGGAGUAUGCCCGCAAGGGUGAAACUCAAAGGAAUUGACGGGGGCCCGCAC
rnacentral:rRNA from 1 species